AACGCAGAAAACGGGCCCGAAGAAAAUAAAUUCAAACAUCAGGGCUCGGGCUUUUAACGGCUCUGUUCGCCAGCCGGCCGUGGAGAGGGCUUUCGCUUCUUUCCAUUUCUGGCUCCAGAGCCUUAGAAUAAUUUUUAUCUUUCGGUUUUCAAAUGCAGGGGAAGGGAAUGAAAAGGAAAUGUGUCCUCUCUUACGUUUACCAAUGGGAUGGCAGAUGCAGACUACUUCGCAACCACCUGCUGUUCUCUCCUGAGGACAAUCUUGCGACAAGUGACCUGGCAUCCGUUUCAAACCCAGCUUUUUUUCUGACAUGCCUCCUGAUUUGCAGAGAAUUUCCAGCAUUUCUGUUUUUAUUCUCAUUUUCACGGUCUGAUGAUAUGCAAAAUGGCCCAUGUUGCAACAGCCACAAUUUUCCAUUAUAUUUGUGGCAAGUAUAUGCUCAAAUCUCA